rnacentral:rRNA from 1 species
AUUGAACGCUGGCGGCAGGCCUAACACAUGCAAGUCGAGCGGGGUUUUCGGACCUAGCGGCGGACGGGUGAGUAAUGCGUAGGAAGCUGCCCGAUAGAGGGGGAUACCAGUUGGAAACGACUGUUAAUACCGCAUAAUGUCUACGGACCAAAGUGUGGGACCUUCGGGCCACAUGCUAUCGGAUGCGCCUACGUGGGAUUAGCUAGUUGGUGAGGUAAUGGCUCACCAAGGCGACGAUCUCUAGCUGGUUUGAGAGGAUGAUCAGCCACACUGAAACUGAGACACGGUCCAGACUCCUACGGGAGGCAGCAGUGGGGAAUAUUGGACAAUGGGCGCAAGCCUGAUCCAGCCAUGCCGCGUGUGUGAAGAAGGCCUUCGGGUUGUAAAGCACUUUCAGCGAGGAGGAAGGGGUGUGUGUUAAUAGUACACACCUUUGACGUUACUCGCAGAAGAAGCACCGGCUAACUCUGUGCCAGCAGCCGCAGUAAUAC